CCCGGUGAACUAAGGUUUUAACGGCCGCGGUAUCCUGACCGUGCAAAGGUAGCAUAAUCACUCGCCCUUUAAUUGGGGGCUUGUAUGAAUGGAUAAAUGAGGGGCCAGCUGUCUCUAGUAUACACAUAAAAAUUAAACUUGAGGUGAAGAUACCUCAAUUCUUUCAAAAGACAAGAAGACCCUAUAGAGUUUUAUCUUAAUUACUUAAUGAGCUUAGAACUAAUGUAUCAAGCCCUAUAAAAAAAGAUUUAGUUGGGGCGACUGGGGGACAAAAAAAACUCCCCUCAAAAAAAGAGAUAUAACUCACUUUAAAGAUCCUUUUUAAAGACCUAAAAAAUCACACUACCUUAGGGAUAACAGGCUAAUCUCCCUAGAGAGUUCAAAUUGACAGGGAGGAUGGCACCUCGAUGUUGGCUUAGGAAACCUUUUAAAAUGCAGCAGUUUAAAAAUAGUUGGUUUGUUCAACCAUUAAUAUCCUACGUGAUCUGAGUUC
rnacentral:rRNA from 1 species